CACACACGUGCAGAUCCCAGUGACAAAGCGGGAAGCUGGUCGACCACUCUCGUGCCAGAGGCUAAUGGCUGAUCAGCUAAUGCAGCAUGUGAGCAUCUCCUGGCUACUGUGGAUUGGUUCUGGACUGCUAAUUCAUGCUCUUGUCUAUUGGAGACAAUAUCUGCCAAGUUUCACCAGAGAUGUGUACAAGUAUGGUAAGCUGAGGAGUGAGAGUGACUGGAGCUGGAUGAUCCCUAGUGUGCCCAAGACUCAAGGAGAUUUCAGUGACAAAGCGGGGAAGCUGGUCGACCACUCUCGUGCCAGAGGCUAAUGGCUGAUCAGCUAAUGCAGCAUGUGAGCAUCUCCUGGCUACUGUGGAUUGGUUCUACACCGCUUUGGGACCAACAGCACUGCUGCAUUUGAAUUCAGACUCACCCCUUGCUGGCCUGAUUGUAGCCACUCUGUUGUUCCUCUGGGCCUACACACAUCAGUACCGAUGUCACGUCAUCCCUGCACAACUCAGAGCAGUCAACAACAAGCCACAGUACGGCGGCUGUCACUGCCAAGCAGACUCACGUUUGCUAUAGACACAAGUUUGAGGACUAUCCAAACAACAGACAAAUUGUUAUGACCAUUUGUUUAUUAGUUGCUAAUAUAAUUUAUGCUAUGUACAUGCAGUACUGUAUGGUAUCAUUCAUAUUCUCCAAUCAAUAAUCUAUCAAAUUAAUGAUCGAAAAAAUUAAUUUUGAAUUUGCAGUAAAUAAUAAUUGACGCUUCUUAUGCUAUUAUUUGUACAUGCAGUACAUGGUACAUUGAAUUAGUAUGACAUCAUUUAUUGUUCAAGCAAUAAACCU